AGUGAACGCUGGCGGUAGGCCUAACACAUGCAAGUCGAACGGCAGCACAGUAAGAGCUUGCUCUUACGGGUGGCGAGUGGCGGACGGGUGAGGAAUACAUCGGAAUCUACUUUUUCGUGGGGGAUAACGUAGGGAAACUUACGCUAAUACCGCAUACGACCUACGGGUGAAAGCAGGGGAUCUUCGGACCUUGCGCGAUUGAAUGCGCCGAUGUCGGAUUAGCUAGUUGGCGGGGUAAAGGCCCACCAAGGCGACGAUCCGUAGCUGGUCUGAGAGGAGGAUCAGCCACACUGGAACUGAGACACGGUCCAGACUCCUACGGGAGGCAGCAGUGGGGAAUAUUGGACAAUGGGCGCAAGCCUGAUCCAGCCAUACCGCGUGGGUGAAGAAGGCGUUCGGGUUGUAAAGCCCUUUUGUGGGGAAAGAAAAGCAGCAGGUUAAUACCCCGCUGUUCUGACGGUACCCAAAGAAUAAGCACCGGCUAACUUCGUG
rnacentral:rRNA from 1 species